rnacentral:rRNA from 1 species
AUUGAACGCUGGCGGCAGGCCUAACACAUGCAAGUCGAGCGGAUGAAGGGGGCUUGCUCCUGGAUUACGCGGGGGACGGGUGAGUAAUGCCUAGGAAUCUGCCUGGUCGAGGGGGCUAAAGUACGGUAACGAGCGCUAAUAUCACAUACGUUCAGAGGGUGAACGUGAGGGAUCUUUGGAGCUCACGGGAUUAGAUGUGACUAGGUCGGAUUAGCUAGUUGGUGGGGUAAAGGCCUACCAAGGCGACGAUCCGUAACAGGUCUGAGAGGAUGAUCAGCCACACUGGAACUGAGACACGGUCCAGACUCCUACGGGAGGCAGCAGUAGGGAAUAUUGGACAAUGGGCGAAAGCCUGAUCCAGCCAUGCCGCGUGUGUGAAGAAGGUCUUCGGAUUGUAAAGCUCUGUAAGUAGGGAAGAACGACAGUAAGAGAAUACCUGGCUGUUUUGACGGUACCAACAGAAUAAGCACCGGCUAACUUCGUG